rnacentral:lncRNA from 1 species
AGGAAAGUAAAUAAUUUUUUAUAUUUUCUUAACAUUUCAAGCUAGCAAUUUUCGGUGAUGUUCAAGAUAUCAAUUUCUUCUCUUUUGAGAAGUGUAAUUUUUUUUUGCUUUUUUCUUGAAUUGUGCUAGCAAUCUAUCUCCCCCUUUGUCAUUGUCAAAAAGAAGGGAGAACUCAAUGGCUAAAAAUUUCAACCAUUCAACAAGCCAAAUAUGCAAAGAAUU